GACGAACGCUGGCGGCGUGCUUAACACAUGCAAGUCGAACGGAAAGACCCUGCUUUUGUGGGGUGCUCGAGUGGCGAACGGGUGAGUAACACGUGAGUAACCUGCCCUUGACUUUGGGAUAACUUCAGGAAACUGGGGCUAAUACCGGAUAGGAGCUCCUGCUGCAUGGUGGGGGUUGGAAAGUUUCGGCGGUUGGGGAUGGACUCGCGGCUUAUCCGCUUGUUGGUGGGGUAGUGGCUUACCAAGGCUUUGACGGGUAGCCGGCCUGAGAGGGUGACCGGCCACAUUGGGACUAAGAGACGGCCCAGACUCCUACGGGAGGCAGCAGUGGGGAAUAUUGCACAAUAGGCGGAAGCCUGAUGCAGCAACGCCGCGUGCGGGAUGACGGCCUUCGGGUUGUAAACCGCUUUCGCCUGUGACGAAGCGUGAGUGACGGUAAUGGGUAAAGAAGCACCGGCUAACUACGUG
rnacentral:rRNA from 1 species